ensembl:lincRNA
GUGGCACUGUCUGAGAAAACGAAAGGUCUGGAGAACAAGUCUGAGCUCUGAGCGUGCAGUUGGGUCUCUGGGCCUGCAGCUUCACCUUACAACUGUAGCUGGCAGAAGAACCUAUUUGUUUUUGCUGGGAAAGCAGAGAGCCGUCGCAAACAUUUGAAUAUGCCUAUUUUUAACUUGCAUAUACAAUUUUCACAUCUAAAAUGCUUUAAAAACUAGAUUAAUAUGUUCUAAACUGCGAAAGAGAUUAUAAACGUCGUUCAAUUACAUCCUCAAAUGUUAGUCUUGGGUAAUCUGUCGUCCAGCAGAUGGCGGCGUUAACCUAUUUGUGUUCAUUGUGCUGUUCUGUGUUGUGUUGGGCUGAGAAAAGUGGUUAGGCCUACCAGCCUACACGAAAUAUUUUCAACGGAUUUACAGUAUCUGUCCCUGACUGUCGUGAUGUUUGCAUGGAAGAGCCUAAUGCAGAUAUGAACCACACUUUUCCUGUUUUUCUCAAGUCAAAUCUAAAAAGCAUUGCUGAUAUAUUCGCACUGGUCUGUGACAAGACUUGUUUAUGUGACCAGAACACGUGCUUCAGCAGCUCCAGUGAAAAGAAGGAAGACGUUCAUAUGGUUGAGAGCUGCGUGUUUGCUGACGGCUCUCCUGAUGCCGCUGUGUUCGUCUCCAGGAGGAUUAGACACUUCCUGAAUUACGUAAGUGAGCUAAUGAGCUACACACACACACACACACAUACGCUCAUACACACAGCAGUUCCUAUAGGGAGCUCAGACAGACCGUGUAUCCUCUCUCCCUCGGGUCUCUCACUGCCUG